rnacentral:rRNA from 1 species
CUGUCCAGACUAGCCAUGCACGUCUAGUACAAACUAAAUGAUGGUGAAACUGCAAAUGGCUCAUUACAACGGUUAUGAUGUACCCGGGAGUUCCGAUGGAUAUUUCCAGUAACACUAGAGCUAAUACAUGUCCCUGCGUUUAUUAGUUUCGCACAGUCCGUCGCUGAGUCAUGGUAAACAGUUGAUCGACUCGACGUCCCGGAACAGUUUCCGCCCCAUCAGCUUCGAUGGUUGGGUAUUGGCCUACCAUUGCAACAACGGGUAACGAGGAAUUAGGGUUUGAUUUCGGAGAGGGAGCCUGAGAAACGGCUACCACAUCUACGGAUGGCAGCAGGCGCGCAAAUUACCCAAUGCAGACACUGUGAGGUAGUGACGAGAAAUAAUAAAGCGGGACUUCUGUUUCGCUAUUAUAAUGAGGAAUAACCAAAGGUCAUUCCGAUUAGCAACUGAUGGGAAAGUCUGGUGCCAGCAGCCGCGGUAAUACCAGCGUCAGUAGCAUA